rnacentral:rRNA from 1 species
GCAUAUCAAUAAGCGGAGGAAAAGAAACUAACAAGGAUUCCCCUAGUAACGGCGAGUGAAGCGGGAACAGCUCAAGAUUUUAAAUCUGGCUGCUUUGUAGUCCGAGUUGUAAUUUGAAGGAGUCUAGACACGGGCAAAACGAUGGCACAAGUCCUCUGGAACGGGGCAUCGUAGAGGGUGAGAAUCCCGUCUCUGGUCAUCACGCGCUGGCAUGCGGCAGGCAUCCGAAGAGUCGAGUUGUUUGGGAUUGCAGCUCCAAAUGGGUGGUAAACUCCAUCUAAGGCUAAAUAUUGGCGAGAGACCGAUAGCGAACAAGUACCGUGAGGGAAAGAUGAAAAGAACUUUGAAAAGAGAGUAAAACAGUACGUGAAAAUGUUGAAAGGGAAAAGAUGGAAGUCAGUCAUGCCGGCGUUGGAUUCAGCUUCAUUCGCGGAGCUUGUGCAGUUCCUCGCAUGGCAGGUCAGCGUCAGUUUUGCUCGGCGUGAAAAGGCUAGGGUAAGGGAGCUCUCUUCGGGGAGUGUUAUAGACCUGGGCAAAUGCGCAGCGCGGGAGUGAGGAUUGCAGCGGACACCUCUUCGGAGGCGCGGCGACCGAACCCUGUUCGGCCACCCUCGUACGAUAGCGCGCUAGCGGAGGCGGGAUCGGCAGCGCAAUGGGACAGGCAAGCCUUUUUUUUAGUUAAGUUCCUUGACGUAAGGGCUUCAAAAAGGACAAUUACGGGAUUAACCAUG